rnacentral:hammerhead_ribozyme from 1 species
GAAUCGCCAACGAGUCCCAAACAGGACGAAACAGCUGUCCAGUGC